GCGGGCGUAGCUCAAUGGUAGAGCCCUAGCCUUCCAAGCUAGCCAUGCGGUUUCGAUUACCGUCGCCCGCUCCA
rnacentral:tRNA from 1 species